rnacentral:lncRNA from 1 species
UUCCUUCAUCCAUCUCAUCUCCUUGUCUCACCAUUUCCUCUCCAUUUUCCUUAGUCACCAUUUCCUAUACAUCUUCCUUCAUCCAUCUCAUCUUCUUUGUCUCUCCAUUUCCUUUCCAUUUUUCUCUCCAUUCUCUAGUUUUAAGUUUCUGCAUUUUUAAGCAAAGAGAAGAAGAGAAGAAGAAGCCAUGAAGCCUCCUAGCCGUCAUCAUCCACCUUGUGCCGUGAUAGUGAAGUCUUGCUUUAAAGAUUCAAGAUCAACGUCUCAAGCUCUUCAUCAUCCACUCCCUUCAUGGUAUUUGUAGAACUAUGAAUUCUAGUUAACAAAUAAUGUUAAGGGCAAAGUUUAAAGCCCGUUUAUAUGUUUUGAGAUAAAGUUGUGAUUUCUAUAUGUUGAUUUUUAUGUUGCUUAUGUGGGUUU